CCUACGUGUGGCAGCAGUGGGGAAUAUUGGACAAUGGGCGAAAGCCUGAUCCAGCCAUGCCGCGUGUGUGAAGAAGGCCUUCGGGUUGUAAAGCACUUUCAGUGGGGAAGAAAGCCUUGGGGCUAAUACCCUCGAGGAAGGACAUCACCCACAGAAGAAGCACCGGCUAACUCCGUGCCAGCAGCCGCGGUAAUACGGAGGGUGCGAGCGUUAAUCGGAAUGACUGGGCGUAAAGCGCGCGUAGGCGGUCUGAUAAGCCGGUUGUGAAAGCCCCGGGCUCAACCUGGGAACGGCAUCCGGAACUGUCAGGCUAGAGUGCAGUAGAGGAAGGUAGAAUUCCCGGUGUAGCGGUGAAAUGCGUAGAGAUCGGGAGGAAUACCAGUGGCGAAGGCGGCCUUCUGGACUGACACUGACGCUGAGGUGCGAAAGCGUGGGUAGCAAACAGGAUUAGAUACCCCGGUAGUC
rnacentral:rRNA from 1 species